rnacentral:lncRNA from 1 species
CUUGAGAGGUGGCUUUGAGCUAAAGGUAUCGUGAGGCUUGAGAACUGAGGCAGGAGUGAGGGAGCGGGGAGUCACACCACAAGGAGAGAUGGCCAGCGGAGUACAAUGCCACACCAGAGGGGAACGGAACCAAACGCUGAAGGGACCUUCUCAAGAUCACUGAAGAGCAGAAUCGCAACUAGAAAGGGUACUUAUUCUUAAGAUCAAGAAGCGUGAAGUCAAUUAUUUCUGUCCUUUGUGGUAAAUGUACACCUUGGACAAUGCCAGCAUCAACUGGAACACUAAGGAUCUUCCCUAUAUAUUCUCGUCUGAGGGAUUGGUAAUGAGAUAUGGACUUGUUUAGAUUCUCCUGAGUAAAUUACUGGAAGUCAGUAGCAUCUGAAGGUUGAGGUCAUCACAGAGUCAUCCUUAACUGUCAGUGCAGUUCCCAGCUGAGAAAGGCCUAAAUCAGGAACCAGCACCUCCUGUGGCAGUAAGUAGUCUCUUCAUUUCAGCCCUGAGGCGCUUGUGAGAGACCAAGCCACACACACUGAGGCAGGGAGAGAAAACCUCCUCUAAGGCCUUGAGCUCAGUUUCCCACCUCAUUCCUCCCCUGGGGACUCCUCCUUUCCCCUCUUGUACUUAUGGCAUUUCCUAAGGAGAAACAAUAACCUAAGAUCUGUAUAGGGCUUCACUGUCUGCAGACUUUUCAAUACAUUUCACAUAGUCUUGCA